AUUGAACGCUGGCGGCGUGCCUAACACAUGCAAGUCGAGCGGCAGCGCGGGAGCAAUCCUGGCGGCGAGCGGCGGACGGGUGAGUAACGCUUGGGAAUCUGCCUGUUAGUGGGGGACAACCCGGGGAAACGUCGGGCUAAUACCGCAUACGCACUACGGUGGAAAGCCGGGACCGCAAGCCUGGCGCUAACAGAUGAGCCCAAGUCGGAUUAGCUAGUUGGUAGGGUAACGGCCUACCAAGGCGACGAUCCGUAACUGGUCUGAGAGGACGACCAGUCACACCGGAACUGAGACACGGUCCGGACUCCUACGGGAGGCAGCAGUGGGGAA
rnacentral:rRNA from 1 species